UGCAAUCUAGAAAACAAAAACAUUCUGAAUUGUUGUUUAUUGAGUUAUUGUUAUUUAUUGGGGAAAAUUACCCUUCAAAGGGCCUCAAUGCGGAGUAAUAUUAUAACGCAAUAACAAAACCAAUCCGAUGGUGAACAAUGGUGAAAGAAUUCGUUUGAGUAUGGACUAAAAUAUCAACAAUAAGCAUGAAACAUAAUGAUUUAUAGGUUUUAAACAAACAAUAUUAACAAGAAAAAUAUGUAUUUCCAACAAUUGUAUAAGAAAUAAGUUUGAAUCGUUCUACGCUUCGCGAUGUAAACAUUUCAUUUGAAGCGGUCACAGUUAAUGGCGGUCACACAUGUACACAUUCAUGGUUUGAAUUUGUAAUUUUGCACCGUAAAACAUCGAGUUUAUCCUGUUAGAUGUGUUGGUUUGGGAACAAAUUGUUGAAUUGUCGGAACCAAUGGAGAAAUCGUCAUCGACAGUUGUCCUAGAAGGCAUUGCAGGGAGAGAGUGGAUAAAAGCAGAGCUGGAAAAUUAGGGAUGUAACUAUCAGACAGCAUAAACUUGAGAGAUCUUCAACAAUGGAAUUAUGGUGUUUUGAUCGGAUUAAGUUUUUAUCAACAUAGUUUAUCGUUUAGGAAUUGCACGAUUUAUAAUGGAACUAUCUGUGAUAAUGAUGUACCGUAAAUAAAAUGUGAAGUUGAUUUGGUUCAACAUAUGUGAAAGUUUCGCAGGAUAUAUAUUUACUACGUAGAGUUUACAUGUACUUGUUCCAAAAUGUACUAGUAAUGUAGAUUUUUAUGCGACAACAUGAUUCAGAUACAUGCAUUUGUGUAAAACAGAAAAAGUAUGGAAUUAUACAAAGUAAGCAGAAACAUAUGUGAAAGUUUCGCAGGAUAUAUAUUCACUACGUAGAGUUUACAUGUACUUGUUCAAAAAUGUACUAGUAAUGUAGAUUUUUAUAGGACAACAUGAUUCAGAUACAUGUAUUUGUGUAAAACAGAAAAAAGCAUGGAAUUAUACAAAGUAGCAGAAAGGUGUCACAUACACAUGCAUGAAGAUCUUGCUUGGUAUUAAUUUACUAAUCAUAGUUAUGUGUGGAGUUUUAUGAUUGGAUAUUCUCAUAUAAAUACAUUUUGGACAUCUACUAUGUACAUUUACAUGUAUAUAUAAUUCAAAUAUAUCUAUGGUAAAUAAAUGCAUUUUCUAUUUUUGA